rnacentral:rRNA from 1 species
AUUGAACGCUGGCGGCAGGCCUAACACAUGCAAGUCGAGCGAGCGGCGGAAGGGUGAGUAAUGUAUGGGGACUGCCCGAAAGAGGGGGAUAACUACGGGAAACGGUAGCUAAUACCGCAUACUAUCGGAUAACCCAUAUGGGAUUAGCGAGUAUGUGAGGGAAUGGCUAACCUAGGAGACGAUACCUAGCUGGUCUGAUAGGAUGAUCAGCCACACUGGUGCUGAGACACGGCCCAGACUCCUACGGAGGCAUCAGUGGGGAAUAUUGCACUAUGGGCGCAAGCCUGAUGCAGCCAUGCCGCGUGGAUGAAGAAGGCCCUAGGGUUGUAAAGUACUUUCAGUCGGGAGGCGUUACCGACAGAAGAAGCACCGGCUAACUCCGUGCCAGCCGCCGCGGUAAUAC